rnacentral:misc_RNA from 1 species
GAUGAAGAACGUAGCGAAAUGCGAUAAGUAAUGUGAAUUGCGGAAUUCAGUGAAUCAUCGAAUCUUUGAACGCACAUUGCGCCCGCCAGUAUUCUGGCGGGCAUGCCUGUUCGAGCGUCAUUACAACCCUCAGGCCCCCGGGCCUGGCGUUGGGGAUCGGCGGAAGCCCCCUGCGGGCACAACGCCGUCCCCCAAAUACAGUGGCGGUCCCGCCGCAGCUUCCAUUGCGUAGUAGCUAACACCUCGCAUCUGGAGAGCGGCGCGGCCACGCCGUAAAACACCCAACUUCUGAAUGUUGACCUCGAAUCAGGUAGGAAUACCCGCUGAACUUAAGCAUAUCAAUAAGCGGAGGA